rnacentral:rRNA from 1 species
AUUGAACGCUGGCGGCAGGCCUAACACAUGCAAGUCGAACGAGUGGCGGACGGGUGAGUAAUGUCUGGGAAACUGCCUGAUGGAGGGGGAUAACUAGUGGAAACGGUAGCUAAUACCGCAUACCAUCGGAUGUGCCCAGAUGGGAUUAGCUAGUAGGUGGGGGAAAGGCUCACCUAGGCGACGAUCCAUAGCUGGUCUGAGAGGAUGACCAGCCACACUGGAACUGAGAAACGGUCCAGACUCCUACGGGAGGCAGCAGUGGGGAAUAUUGCACAAUGGGCGAAAGCCUGAUGCAGCCACGCCGCGUGAAUGAAGAAGGCCUUCGGGUUGUAAAGCACUUUCAGCAGGGAAGCGUUACCCACUCAAGAAGCACCGGCUAACUCCGUGCCAGCAGCCGCGGUAAUUC